rnacentral:lncRNA from 1 species
AAUUGGUAAAAAGGAAAAACUCUUAUUAAGGAUUUCAACAUGGCCCAAGUAUAUAGGAUGGGCCUAAGACAGAUUCCAAAUUUGUAGGGCAUGGACUGAAGUUAUACUAAAAAAAGAUUCAUAGAAUCUUCAAUUUAUAAAUACAUCGUACUCAAAAAACCCUUCAGGGUCUGGCCCAAUUAUAUUAGCUUGACUAAAAUGAAACUGGCCAUCAUGACUAGCCCAAUAGCACAGGAAGAUUACAUUGCACAAAGAAGCAUUAAUUAAUAAUUUAAUAAGCAUGAGAAUUAGGAAAAAAAAAACUACUAGUUAACAGUUUAAUUAAUUACAAGUACUAAAGAGUUCGCAAGAAUUUCACACGAUGCUAAAUGUAGUAGGAUUUACAAAGUUUUUCCCUAAUAUUAAUCUACAUGCCAUUAAUGAAUUAAAAUAAACCGUGACAACCACUGUAAUUAUCACUUAAUAUAUCUAAACACAUAUUUCCAAAACUCAAUACAAUGGAGCUUAAGGUUACAACAAACUGUCCAUUAAUCAAAUUUUCCUAACAAGACAAAAAAAAAAACUAAAUGAAAUUGUCUAAAACUUUAUUAGAGCUGGUUCUAUUUCAGCUGAGCCCUCUCCCAUAGAAUCAAUCUCCUGGAUCUUACUCCAUUUGCCAGAUUCUCACCUUACAUGUUCCUGAUGCAAUCAUGACUUACUCUGAUUUACACAUGGGUUGCUGUGGGCUGAUUCCAUGUCCUUAACUCAAACAAUGCUCAAUGGUCACUACUCAAAAUGCCGUAAAUUUCAUAAUAACAAUUAGUUCAAUUGAAUGCAAAUAAACCAAGUCUAGAUCCAACUUUAUAAAGGUUAUGCAGAUUUAACUCAUUUCAAUCAUGAACUAAGCUUAUACAAAUAUCAUUUAGCUUGAAAUCAAUUAGCUAUACCUUAACUAACUAAAAAAAACACAGCAACAGAAUCAAUAAGCACAGCUAAACAGAAUUCACAGUAGCAUUUGAAAUAGAAUUCCAGCUUUCAUUAAAUAUCAAGUUCAACAUUUGAGGUUUCAGAAUAUACCUAGAUGCAGAAAACAGCACUUAACAAGACCAAAUAAAGGUCAGAAAACCAGAAGGGCAAAGCUCAGCAAUCCAAAAACAGCAGCAGCAAACAAAUAAUAACAAAGAACAGCUCCAGAAUCAAACUUCAAACUUGAGAUAUCUUAGGAAUUCUAUGUGUGUUUUUUCUACUAUUAAUGCAGGAAUUGAAAAGGAAAAUGCAAGAGUUUUCUAUUGAGAAUGCAGAGAAUUCAAUGUGUUUUCAAAUAAAUCAGUGUGUGUGUUAUGAAAGAAUGUGAGUGCCUUUAUAUAGAGCAGGG